rnacentral:rRNA from 1 species
UAGUGAGUUUGAUCCUGGCUCAGGGUGAACGCUGGCGGCGUGCCUAAGACAUGCAAGUCGAACGGGCUCUUCGGAGCCAGUGGCGCACGGGUGAGUAACGCGUAACUGACCUACCCCAAAGUCGCGGAUAACGAUUCGAAAGAAUCGCUAAUACGUGAUGUGCUGUCAGAUCCUGUUCUGCCAGUAAAGAUUUAUUGCUUUGGGAUGGGGUUGCGUUCCAUCAGCUGGUUGGUGGGGUAAACGGCCCACCGAAGGCGACGACGGAUAGCCGGCCUGAG